rnacentral:rRNA from 1 species
ACGAACGCUGGCGGCGUGCCUAAUACAUGCAAGUCGAACGAACUCUGGUAUUGAUUGGUGCUUGCAUCAUGAUUUACAUUUGAGUGAGAGGCGAACUGGUGAGUAACACGUGGGAAACCUGCCCAGAAGCGGGGGAUAACACCUGGAAACAGAUGCUAAUACCGCAUAACAACUUGGACCGCAUGGUCCGAGCUUGAAAGAUGGCUUCGGCUAUCACUUUUGGAUGGUCCCGCGGCGUAUUAGCUAGAUGGUGGGGUAACGGCUCACCAUGGCAAUGAUACGUAGCCGACCUGAGAGGGUAAUCGGCCACAUUGGGACUGAGACACGGCCCAAACUCCUACGGGAGGCAGCAGUAGGGAAUCUUCCACAAUGGACGAAAGUCUGAUGGAGCAACGCCGCGUGAGUGAAGAAGGGUUUCGGCUCGUAAAACUCUGUUGUUAAAGAAGAACAUAUCUGAGAGUAACUGUUCAGGUAUUGACGGUAUUUAACCAGAAAGCCACGGCUAACUACGUGCCAGCAGCCGCGGUAAUACGUAGGUGGCAAGCGUUGUCCGGAUUUAUUGGGCGUAAAGCGAGCGCAGGCGGUUUUUUAAGUCUGAUGUGAAAGCCUUCGGCUCAACCGAAGAAGUGCAUCGGAAACUGGGAAACUUGAGUGCAGAAGAGGACAGUGGAACUCCAUGUGUAGCGGUGAAAUGCGUAGAUAUAUGGAAGAACACCAGUGGCGAAGGCGGCUGUCUGGUCUGUAACUGACGCUGAGGCUCGAAAGUAUGGGUAGCAAACAGGAUUAGAUACCCUGGGAUGCCAUACCGUAAAAGAUGAAUGCUAAGUGUUGGCGGGUUUCCGGCCUUCAGUGCUGCAGCUAACGCAUUAAGCAUUCCGCCUGGGGAGUACGGCCGCAAGGCUGAAACUCAAAGGAAUUGACGGGGGCCCGCACAAGCGGUGGAGCAUGUGGUUUAAUUCGAAGCUACGCGAAGAACCUUACCAGGUCUUGACAUACUAUGCAAAUCUAAGAGAUUAGACGUUCCCUUCGGGGACAUGGAUACAGGUGGUGCAUGGUUGUCGUCAGCUCGUGUCGUGAGAUGUUGGGUUAAGUCCCGCAACGAGCGCAACCCUUAUUAUCAGUUGCCAGCAUUAAGUUGGGCACUCUGGUGAGACUGCCGGUGACAAACCGGAGGAAGGUGGGGAUGACGUCAAAUCAUCAUGCCCCUUAUGACCUGGGCUACACACGUGCUACAAUGGAUGGUACAACGAGUUGCGAACUCGCGAGAGUAAGCUAAUCUCUUAAAGCCAUUCUCAGUUCGGAUUGUAGGCUGCAACUCGCCUACAUGAAGUCGGAAUCGCUAGUAAUCGCGGAUCAGCAUGCCGCGGUGAAUACGUUCCCGGGCCUUGUACACACCGCCCGUCACACCAUGAGAGUUUGUAACACCCAAAGUCGGUGGGGUAACCUUUUAGGAACCAGCCGCCUAAGGUGGGACAGAUGAUUAGGGUG